rnacentral:rRNA from 1 species
GGAUGAACGCUGGCGGUGUGCCUAAGGCAUGCAAGUCGAGGGGGAUCUUGCUUCGGCAAGAUGAGACCGGCAGACGGGUGAGUAACACGUAGGAAUCUACCCAGUAGUGGGGAAUAGCCCUCCGAAAGGAGGGGUAAUACCGCAUACACCCUUCGGGGAAAAGGCCUCGGCCGCUAUUGGAGGAGCCUGCGCGCUAUCAGCUAGUUGGUGGGGUAACUGCCUACCAAGGCUAUGACGGCUAGCCGAUGUGAGAGCAUGAUCGGCCACAAGGUUACUGAGACACGGAGCCUACACCUACGGGUGGCAGCAACUAGGAAUCUUGCGCAAUGGACGAAAGUCUGACGCAGCAACACCGCGUGUGGGAAGACGCUCCUCGGAGUGUAAACCACUGUGGCAAGGGAACAAGUACUGAGCGUACCUUGCUAGAAAGCACCUGCUAACCACGUGCCAGAAGCCUCGGUAAUACGUGGGGUGCAAGCGUUAUCCGGAAUUACUGGGCGUAAAACGUCCGUCGGCGGUGUAUCAAGUCUUUUGUUUAAGCCUGGGGCUCAACUCCAGAUCGGCAAAGGAAACUGAUACACUUGAGUCUAUUCGGGGAAGCUGGAAUUCUCGGUGGAGGGGUGAAAUCCGUAGAUAUCGAGAGGAACGCCAAUCGCGAAAGCAGGCUUCUAGAGUAGUACUGACGCUCAGGGACGAAGGCUAGGGUAGCAAAAGGGAUUAGAGACCCCUGUAGUCCUAGCCGUAAACGUUGGAUGCUAGUUGCUCCGAUUUCGAUCGGAGUGGCGUAAGCUAACGCGUUAAGCAUCCUGCCUGGGGAGUACGGCCGCAAGGCUAAAACUCAAAGGAAUUGACGGGGGAGCGCACAACCGGUGGAGCAUGUGGUUUAAUUCGAUACAAAGCGAAAAACCUUACCUGGGUUUGACAUCUCGCUUAUGUCUCUCUGGAAACAGAGGGUCUUAAAGGCGAUGACAGGUGAUGCAUGGCUGUCGUCAGCUCGUGUCGUGAGACGUCCGCUUAAGUGCGGUAGCGAGCGCAACCCCUAUCGUUAGUUACAAGUGUCUAACGAAACUGCCCCCGACUGUUCGGGGGAGGAAGGAGGGGACGACGUCAAGUCAGCAUGUCCCUUACAUCCAGGGCUACACACAUCCUACAAUGGAACUGACAAUGAGCCAGCAAAAGGGCAACCUCGAGCAAAUCUCGCAAACAGUUCCUCAGUUCGGAUUGCGGGCUGCAAUUCGCCCGCAUGAAGUCGGAAUCGGUAGUAAUCGCAAAUCAGCAGGUUGCGGUGAAUACGUUCUCGCUCCUUGUACACACUGCCCGUCAAGCCAGCAAAGUCGGCAGCGCCCGAAGCAGGUGACCGUAACCCUUACGGGAUCGGCCCUACUACGGCGAGGU